ACUCCUACGGGAGGCAGCAGUGGGAAUAUUGCACAAUGGGCGCAAGCCUGAUGCAGCCAUGCCGCGUGUGUGAAGAAGGCCUUCGGGUUGUAAAGCACUUUCAGUUGUGAGGAAAGGUUAGUCGCUAAUAUCGGCUAGCUGUGACGUUAGCAACAGAAGAAGCACCGGCUAACUCCGUGCCAGCAGCCGCGGUAAUACGUAGGGUGCGAGCGUUGUCCGGAAUUACUGGGCGUAAAGAGCUUGUAGGCGGCUUGUCGCGUCUUCUGUGAAAACUCACAGCUCAACUGUGAGCUUGCAGGGGAUACGGGCAGGCUAGAGUACUUCAGGGGAGACUGGAAUUCCUGGUGUAGCGGUGAAAUGCGCAGAUAUCAGGAGGAACACCGGUGGCGAAGGCGGGUCUCUGGGAAGUAACUGACGCUGAGAAGCGAAAGCGUGGGUAGCGAAACAGGAUUAGAUACCCUGGUAGGCACUGCU
rnacentral:rRNA from 1 species